AUGUUAUUCCCUGUUACGCCCUGUUAUACCCCGUUAUACUCUGUUAUACCCCUUAUACUCUGUUAUACCCCUUAUACUUUGUUACACCCCGUGUUACACUCUGUUAUACCCUGUUAUACCCUGUUACACUCCAUUACACCCUGUAUUACCCCAUUACACCCUGUUAUACCUCGUUAUACCCUGUUACGUCCUGUUAUACCCUGUUAUACCCUGUUAUACUCUGUUACACUCCAUUACACCCUGUUAUACCCCAUUACACCCUGUUAUACCCCAUUACACCCUGUUAUACCCCAUUACACCCCGUUACACCCCAUUACACCCUGUUAUACCCCGUUACAUCCUGUUAUACCCUGUUACACCCCAUUACACCCUGUUAUACCCCGUUAUACCCCAUUAUACCCCGUUACACCCCAUUACACCCUGUUAUACCCCGUUACACCCUGUUAUACCCCAUUACGCCCUGUUAUACCCCGUUACACCCUGUUAUACACUGUUACACCCCAUUUUAUCCCAGUAUACCCCGUUACACCUUGUUAUACCCCGUUACACCCCAUUACACCCUGUUAUACCCCGUUAUACCCCAUUAUACCCCGUUACACCCCAUUACACCCUGUUAUACCCCGUUACACCCUGUUAUACCCCAUUACGCCCUGUUAUACCCCGUUACACCCUGUUAUACCCCAUUACACCCUGUUAUACCCCGUUACACCCCAUUAUACCCCAUUAUACCCCGUUACACCCCGAUAUACCCCGUUACACCCUGUUACAUCCUGUGAUACCCCGUUAUACUCUGUUACACCCCUUAUACUCUGUUACACCCCGUUACACCCUGUUACAUCCUGUUAUACCCCGUUACACCCUGUUAUACUCUGUUAUACCCCGUUAUACUCUGUUACACCCUGUUAUACCCUGUUAUACUCUGUUACACCCUGUUAUACCCCGUUACACUAUGUUAUACCCCGUUAUACCCUGUUAUACCCUGUUAUACCCUGUUAUACCCCGUUAUACCCUGAUAUGUCUGUCUCCCUUUUCAUCUCUCCCCCUCUCAAUUAA
rnacentral:lncRNA from 1 species